CACUUUCUAAAUCCCACUGGUUAUGUACAUGAGCAAGAUUUUUAUACUUAAAUAAAUAUUGCUUGCUGUUUCCUUGGAUUGUAAGAGAUGCUAAUAACGAAGCUGUCCCAAUUAGACGGCACACUGAGCUUGCACAGUCAGGUACAGUUUUGGAUUUAUGCCUUAAGUCAAACAGUUUUGGAGGGCAACACAACGCUCAAAGCUAACUUUUCAUGAUUAGUUAUGCUGAAUCACGAGCGUCCUUCGAUAGAAAAAUGGGGGGAAUCAUAGAAAUUUAUACAGAACUGACUGAAAAGCUUACUGUCUUCAAGUAUUCCAUAGCAGCAGCCCAGUCAGAUUCUACCAACAAUUCACCAAGCUCCACAAAUGCCUGCAAAAUAAUCUCAUUAAAAUAGGUUAUAUGCAAACAUGAAAUAAUCGAUCGGUAAAGUUAAUGUGUGGCCUCAUAACGGAGAGUAAGAAUGCAACUAGGAGUCUAGGACUAAACACAAACAGGAAGUAAUUUGAAUAGACAUCAUACUCAUCAUCUGAUAUUGAACAGCUUCCACACUUUGUUUUAUUCAUUUUUUGGUUAAUCACUCUGAAACUAUCGUCCAGUAACUUCAUAAUACAUGACACUGUAGUAAGUCCCAAAAAUGUAGUACUGUGACACAUAAAUUAGUCAAAAGAAAAAACAGCUAAACAACAAAUGUCCUUUUUUUUGCAAUCAUGAAGCUUGGUAUGGGUGUCUUAUCCUUUUCUAAAACAAAUAUAGCAGACGUGAGAGAAACUAUGAAGAUAAAGAAUGUUUCUCAUUAUAGAUUAAUAAUUAAGGUAACAAUAGAAAAUCUGUAUACCAAUCAAAACUACACAUUAGGGCAAAUGUAGUGUGUUCCUUUCAUGGACCAAAUACAGAUCAAAUCGACAACAAAAAACUGACUGUAAGAUGCUAGCAUUCCAAGUUUUCAAUCAACUUCAUCCUAGAUCAGCAUCUUCAUUGUUGCAAAUCAUCAGCAUUCAAAGAUCCAGAGAUGGACCAAAAUUCAGUGUUCAAAAAUAUAUAUUUUUUGCCAUGUUCAUAUGGAGUAAUUUAUGUUCAGAUUGAGCAUUUGAAAAUUUCAUCAGUACAUUCAUCCUGGAAAGCAGUUGUACUAUUUAUGUAUUGACAUGUUAGAAACAAAUUAGUGGCAGAAUUAUAUUUUGGGACCAUGUUACAGCACUUCUUUUGACCCGAAUACAUGAAGCCAUGAAAGUAAUGGUUGAGGGGAGGGGGAAGCAAGUACCUGAUGAUCUUUUGGGUCAAUACGGGUAACUUCCUUGAAGGUUUCUAUAGCUUUUUCAGUUUCCCCAGAUUUUGCAUGUAUGUGACCAAUAGCCUAGAAGAAACAUAAAAAUCAUUUCACAAAUACAACGCUAUGUUGCAAAUACAUGAACUGAGAAUAAGCGUUUGAUUAGAUAUAUGUCUUACCUUCAAACUUUCACAAUUUUCAGGGUGCACCUCCAAAACUUUCUCAAAGCUACCUAAUGAACUUUUGAAGUCUCCAAAUUUUAACUGAAUUUGACCAAGUCCUGGUUCAGAUCAAAUUGUGUUAUAAAUAUCAACUUAAUAUACAGUGGAGUGCUCCAAAUGACCAAUCAUGCUAAUCUAGGCUGCAUGCAUCAUGUGCAAACCUAAGGAAGAAGAUUGAAAAGAAAAUUAGAACUAUUAAUUUUGGAUGUCAUAUAUAGGUAGUUUAUGAUCAAGCUGGUGUGGGAGGCUCACCACGGACAAAAGGUUCGUGAUUUCCAUCACCACGCUCCCACAGGUUACAAUUAUUUUCUUGAAUUUUCCAUUCGAUUAUAUCACUUUCUAAAUCCCACUGGUUAUGUACAUGAGCAAGAUUUUUAUACUUAAAUAAAUAUUGCUUGCUGUUUCCUUGGAUUGUAAGAGAUGCUAAUAACGAAGCUGUCCCAAUUAGACGGCACACUGAGCUUGCACAGUCAGGUACAUGAUCCCUUGUCACUGUACCAGUUUCUGUGCUUCUCUCUCAUGAAAACAACUGUUGGGAUUAUUUGUUUCUGAAGAUCAGUGCAUUUAUUAGUUCUCUCAUGAAACACAACACUAUGAUUUAAAUGCUCACAUUUUGAUUACUGUGUAAACAAUGGGACAUACAAGAUUUUUUUAGGUUUUUGUAGCUCAUUAUUAUAGUAUGUGUUAUUAAUAUGAUGUAGCAGGCAACAUAGUAUCCUGCGAUUCCUAAUUAGUUGAUGCCUAAGGGUUUUUGUAGCUUAUGCAACUAAGAAAACUUCUUCAGGCUAGAAAAAAACUUUGAAGUGUGGGACAUGGUGCUUAGAAAGUGUGGCAAGCAUCGAAUUUACAUUGAUGUAGUCCAUGGUGUAGGAUUUUUAGAUGGCA
rnacentral:lncRNA from 1 species